rnacentral:lncRNA from 1 species
UAUUUAUUUAGAUAAAUUCAUUUCUUAAGUAGGAAAUAAAUGUGAUAUCAUUAGCAUUUCACAUGCUGUCUCACAUAACCUUUAACUUGAAGUAUAAAACUGUGUUUCUUUAUUGCCAGUUGUAUCUGUUUUUAAGGAUUUGUCUUAUUAUAAAAAAUAGGGCAUAAUAGAACUUAAAGUCAUAGGAAGUUCUUUGAAUUUGGUUCAUAUACUUUUCUUGUUUCUCAAUUCUGGAAAAUAGAUAUACCUGGACUAGUAUGCAUUUCAGAGAAGGCAGAAUGGAAAGCUUCUCUCUUCAAAUGAGAAGCAGACCUUACCAGAAUUAAAUUUGAAAUUUGUGUUCUAAUUUCUUAUUUUAUUGACGCAGAUACACACCUAAAAAAGCAGUCACUGAGGCUUUUUUUUUUUUUUUUUUUUUUGAGAUGGAGUCUCGCUCUUUUGCCCAGGCUGGGGUACAACGGCACAAUCUCGGAUCACUGCAACCUUCGUCUUCUGGGUUCAAGAAAUUCUCCUGCCUCAGUCUCCCUAUUAGCUGGGAUUACAGUUCUGAAAAUCAGCUUUCCCAAAUGAGUUUUACUGGAACAAAAUCAAGAUUUCCGCAUGGUCAUGCUCUCUCUGGAGGUUCCAGGGGAGCUUGAGGAGUACUUUCCUGAAAAUUUUGCAGUGAUAUAUUUCAAAAUAAACCACAAAUCAUGAAGGCAGCCUAAGUAAGAAUUAAGAUCAAUGGCCUGCAAUGAGUAGCAAGAUUUUUAACCUUGCACUGCCACUGCAUUUAUAACUUUUAUGAUUCUUUUCACUUUACAAAUUCUACAUUUUUUCCUCCCAGUACGUAUGAUUCUUCCAUAUUCGUAUAUAAAGAGAUUUCUGUUGUUUUAUUUUUCUUUUCUAAAUAAAAUCUUUGG